GAUGAGUCCCAGCUCAGCCACCUACAGCUUGGUAGCAUUGGAUGAGUUCCUUGGCCUCUGAGAAAGGCAGAGAACUAUGUCACAGAGUUGCUGAGAAUUCAGUGAGUUCAGUGGUUGCUUCCACUACCUCUGAUGGACUCUUCUAGUGGUGCUCCGUUGCCAAUAACAUGAAAAUGAUGCCAGCCACGCCUUCCAGCAUUAAUGACCAAAAGUCUGAAGUCAUGGUUCCAAAUUAAGGGAACUAUGGGCGCUCAGUGUUGCAGGAAGGAGUCCCCCUAAACCUCGGGUUCUACUAUGAACACUGAGAAGAUGGACAUCGAAAAUGGAUGCAACUCGAGACCACGCUCACAAGUGAAAUAAACCAGACGCACAU